rnacentral:rRNA from 1 species
UACGUAGGGGGCAAGGCGUUGUCCGGAUUUAUUGGGCGUAAAGAGCGUGUAGGCGGCCUUACAGGUCAGCUGUGAAAACUCGAGGCUCAACCUCGAGACGUCGGUUGAAACCGUAUGGCUAGAGUCCGGAAGAGGAGAGUGGAAUUCCCGGUGUAGCGGUGAAAUUCGUAGAUAUCGGGAGGAACACCGGUGGCGAAGGCGGCGACCUGGGUAGAUACUGACGCUGAGGCGCGAAAGCGUGGGGAGCAAACAGGG